UACGAAGGGGGCUAGCGUUGCUCGGAAUCACUGGGCGUAAAGCGCACGUAGGCGGCUUUGUAAGUUAGAGGUGAAAGCCCAGGGCUUAACCCUGGAAUUGCCUUUAAGACUGCAUCGCUAGAAUCGUGGAGAGGUGAGUGGAAUUCCGAGUGUAGAGGUGAAAUUCGUAGAUAUUCGGAAGAACACCAGUGGCGAAGGCGGCUAACUGGCCCAUUACUGACGCUGAGGCUCGAAAGCGUGGGGAGCAAACAGG
rnacentral:rRNA from 1 species